rnacentral:tRNA from 1 species
GGAGAGGUGGCAGAGUGGCUGAAUGCGCGCGCCUGCUAAGUGCGUGAUGGUCAAAAACCAUCCGAGGGUUCGAAUCCCUCCCUCUCCG